GACGAACGCUGGCGGCGUGCUUAACACAUGCAAGUCGAACGGAAAGGCCCUGCUUUUGUGGGGUGCUCGAGUGGCGAACGGGUGAGUAACACGUGAGUAACCUGCCCUUGACUUUGGGAUAACUUCAGGAAACUGGGGCUAAUACCGGAUAGGAGCUCCUGCUGCAUGGGGGGGGUUGGAAAGUUUCGGCGGUGGGGGAUGGACUCGCGGCUUAUCAGCUUGUUGGUGGGGUAGUGGCUUACCAAGGCUUUGACGGGUAGCCGGCCUGAGAGGGUGACCGGCCUCAUUGGGCCUGAGGUACGGCGCAGACUCCUACGGGAGGCAGCGGUGGGGAGUAUUGCACAAUGAGCGGAAGCCUGAUGCGGCAACGCCGCGUGCGGGAUGACGGCCUUCGGGUUGUAAACCGCUUUCGCCUGUGACGAAGCGUGAGUGACGGUAAUGGGUAAAGAAGCACCGGCUAACUACGUG
rnacentral:rRNA from 1 species